rnacentral:rRNA from 1 species
AGAGUUUGAUUAUGGCUCAGGACGAACGCUGGCGGCGCGCUUAACACAUGCAAGUCGAGCGAGAACCAGACCUUCGGGUCUGGGGACAGCGGCGAACGGGUGAGUAACACGUGGGUAAUCAACCCUCGGUACUGGGAUAGCCCGGGGAAACCCGGAUUAAUACCGGAUGGCCCUUUGGAUCUUCGGAUCUGACGGAAAAGGUAGCUUCGGCCUCCGACCGAGGACGAGCCCGCGGCGGAUUAGCUUGUUGGUGGGGUAACGGCUCACCAAGGCGACGAUCCGUAGCUGGUCUGAGAGGACGAUCAGCCACACUGGGACUGAGACACGGCCCAGACUCCUACGGGAGGCAGCAGUAGGGAAUCUUGCGCAAUGCGCGAAAGCGUGACGCAGCAACACCGCGUGAGGGAAGACGGCCUUAGGGUUGUAAACCUCUUUCAGAUGGGACGAAGGUGAUGCGGUGAAUAGCCGAUGUCAUUGACGGUACCGUCAGAAGAAGCUCCGGCUAACUACGUGCCAGCCGCCGCGGUAA